AGAGUGAGAGAGAGGACCAGAGCGCGCCCGCCCCGAAGGGCACCUCCGUGCUGCCGGUUAUCGGAUGGGCUCCUCUGCUCCGCGCUAGCUGCCCGGGUCUCCUUCGCAGGUCCCUUCAACCCUUCGGUUUGUUCCUGAUAAAUAUCUUGACACCGAGAAAGGCGCUAACAGGAACUUCAUGGAUCAGUUUUCCUUUCCUCCAUGGAAUAUAUGCAGCUGGAAAAUAAAAAUCCAGCUCCACUGCAUGAAGGAAAAAAAAAAGAAAAAGAAAAAGAAAAAGAAAGAAAAGCCACUGACCAAACAGGCAGCCGAGAGAAAGCAAGCGGUACAAGUGAAAUCAAAAAAAUUGGACUGCUGGUUCCUAGGAUCACUUCUGGGUGUCUUAAGUCAAGCAGUGUACGCGAUGAUAUAGUUUUUGUGGGCUUUCUCUGUGACUACACUAUCACUCACAAGUCGUUGCUGAAAGACGAAAAAAUCUUUCCUGGGUUGUGUGUGUAUGAUUGCUUCUUCACAAAUAAUUUUUUUACCAUUUCUGAUGUGCUGUUUUCAUUCUCGCAGUAGUUAUGGAGAACUAUCUGUAUUAGAUUUAAUAUGUAAGUAUAUUAAAAAUAGUGAAGCUGAGCUUGCAUAUGAAGAAAUGAUUACAGUUUAUAUGUUAUAAAUAGUGUAGAGACAUUUAUAUAAACAGUAUGGAUUUAGUUAUGUUCUUUAUAAUAGCACAGAAAACUGGAUAUGUAAAAGUGAUUGAUGAAAAGAAGAUGGAAAAUUUCCUUCCUGUUUAUUAAAAGAAACAAAACCCCCCAAACUUAGCAAUUUAGUGGAGGUUUAAGGGAAAUAUAGUUUUACAGAUUAUGAUACAGUACAGAAAAUUUCUAUUUAGUGAUUUCUAAAAUAGCUUACAAUAAGGACAGAUUGUUGAAUCUUACCUACUAUUACCCUAGAAAAACAUGAGAGGUGAUCAUCCUAAAUGCUAA